CCCCCCCUCACCCCGGGGGGAAGGCUGUUGGAUCCGCUGGGGGCCCUGAGCGCCUUUAACAGGAUGGGCGUUUGCGCCCCUCGGCAGGUACUCCAAGUAUAACUGCUAUAAGGGGGAGUCCCUACCCGCCCCCCACCCCCCACCAAAUUUUGUCUGUAAAAAGGAGCACUUGUCCUUGGGAGCACUGGUACAGGAGAACCAUCCCAGUCCUUUGGGAACAAGAAUGAGAAUGGAUCCUGCUGGGGACUGGAGAUAUCAAGCAGGAGAAAAGAAUGAGGAUAAUGCCAUGUUGUGGACAUUAUAGCCAGGAAGGAAACACGGACCUCAGUCCUGCAACUUUGUGGAACUACAUUUUACCAACAACAUGAAUGAGUAUGGAAGGGGAUGCAUCCCAAAGCACCCAGAAAAGAGCGUGGCCCUGGCAGCACCUUGAUUUCACCCCAGUGAAACUUGAAGCUGAGAAACACCUAUGCCUUUUGAGUGUUGAAUGGGAGUAGAGUAUGCCAUCCCAAAAUGUGCCACUUUGACAUGUGGA